rnacentral:rRNA from 1 species
AAUCCUUACUGUUAGUUGCCAGCGGGUCAAGCCGGGAACUCUAACGGGACUGCACCGUAAGGUGAGAGGAAGGUGGGGAUGACGUCAAAUCAGCACGGCCCUUAUGUCCAGGGCUACACACGUGUUACAAUGGUCGGUACAAAGGGCAGCUACACCGCGAGGUGAUGCUAAUCUCUAAAGCCGGUCUCAGUUCGGAUCGAAGUCUGCAACCCGACUUCGUGAAGUUGGAUUCGCUAGUAAUCGCGCAUCAGCCAUGGCGCGGUGAAUACGUUCCCGGGCCUU